AUUGAACGCUGGCGGCAGGCCUAACACAUGCAAGUCGAGCGGAUGAAGGGAGCUUGCUCCUGGAUUCAGCGGCGGACGGGUGAGUAAUGCCUAGGAAUCUGCCUGGUAGUGGGGGAUAACGUCCGGAAACGGGCGCUAAUACCGCAUACGUCCUGAGGGAGAAAGUGGGGGAUCUUCGGACCUCACGCUAUCAGAUGAGCCUAGGUCGGAUUAGCUAGUUGGUGGGGUGAAGGCCUACCAAGGCGACGAUCCGUAACUGGUCUGAGAGGAUGAUCAGUCACACUGGAACUGAGACACGGUCCAGACUCCUACGGGAGGCAGCAGUGGGGAAUAUUGGACAACGGGCGAAAGCCUGAUCCAGCCAUGCCGCGUGUGUGAAGAAGGUCUUCGGAUUGUAAAGCACUUUAAGUUGGGAGGAAGGGCAGUAAGUUAAUACCUUGCUGUUUUGACGUUACCAACAGAAUAAGCACCGGCUAACUUCGUG
rnacentral:rRNA from 1 species